GCUACUGCUCCAGUAGGAGCAGAUGAAGGGCUUCUUUAUGAUGCCCAUCAGCAUAGUUCAUGCCUGGAAUUUUUUUAAUUCUGGUACAUCGAUGGGGGCCCAUUGCUGCUUUGCCAAAAAGGAGUCAGGCUUUGCAGCACGGAAAUGAUGGGCAUAUAAAUGAGUUUGGGCGACAAUGUUCCCCAAUACAUCAUCGCCCAGAAACACCUCCAUAAACUACUGAGGGCUAAAUGCUGCGACAUCCACAUUG